CAAUGGGCAAAAUUAACCAAACAAAGAUGCCUCUUCACUGGCAGCCUCACAUACUGCCGGCCCCUGGAACAGGCCCAAUGGGGAGGGAAAAUCAAGUCAGUUCAGCCCAAAAAAAGCCUUCUCGGCACUGGCAUGGAGCUGCCAGGGGAAGCUGCCAGGGAGGCAGACUGGCGGACCCCGGAGCUUGCUUGCCGACGUGAGCGAUGCGUCAGUGAGAAAGGGCGCGACAAGGCCAGGGCUCCAGUGGGCCUUGGGGCUGCCCCUCGGUGGGGCUGAGAGCCACCCCCAUGCCUGUCCUCACUCUUGCUCCCAUCCCCGGCCAGUGGUCUGGGUAGAAACACUGCCAGGGGACCCGCUUGGCCACACUGCCUGCUUUCUGCAGGAAUCUUCUCCCAGAACCCCUGGACCUCUCCUCUGGGCCAAGACCCCAUGUGUUCCCCAGACAGCGUCUGACCUGCCCAAAGCACCUGGGGAGAGAGUUCAUGAUGUCACCUACAUCUCAGCAGUGUCUGAACUCUGCAGCCUCUCUCCGCAGGCUCUGCUCACUGCUAUCCACCUGCGCGCCCCACGGGUGUAUGAGCAGUGAGCGCUCAGCCCAGGAGUGCAGGCGAGAGGGCAGAGCUGGGCGCGCCUGGCUCCCCAGCCUGCCCGGCUGGGAGAGGGCCUGGGGCUCUGCUCUCCCUGGACAGCUGUCGGCUCGUCCCUCCAGCCCGUUGGCCCUCGGGAGGCCGGGAGAGGGCUGAGGAGGGCAGGCUGCAGUGGCCAUGCGGGCUGGCGCUGGACGCCAGGCUCGAUCUGGUUCUUCACGUUUAGCCAUCAUGGCGGCUGUGCCAGCAGUUCUUGCUUAACUCAGUCUGACCAGACGGCAGAGAGGAAAAGAGUCCAGGGGAAGAAAACAUCAUGGUAAAAUCUCAAAGGCCUGUGCACAGUGUUUGCGGCACAGAUGCAGGGACUCCAGCAGGCGUCUAGUCUGCAGACGGGGCCACGGCAACACCGGUCCAGGGGCCUUGCUGCCCCAAGUGGGAUGAACCUGGGGGCUCCGAGCAGGUCCUCCCCUCCAGCCCUUGGGUCCCGCCGACCUGCACACACAGGCGGGGCUGGCACAGCUGCCAGGAGGGCCCAGCAGCUCAGGCAUUGGAAUCAGAUGGACACAGCCCAGGUUCUGUCGGUGCCGCCCACCGGCCGGCCAAGUGACACUGGAAAAGGGACCUUGCAUCCCCGUGCCUCUGUUUAUCCACAGUCAUGUACUGCACAAAGACAUUUUGGUCAACGACAGACCACAUGUAUGACGGUGGUCCCACAAUUUCCGUACUGUGGCGCCCAGGUGGGUGGGAGGCUCUCCCGUCUGGGUCUGUGUAAGUUCGCACUGAUGUUCGCACGACGACGUUGCCUAAGGAUGCGUGUCUCAGGACGUGUCCCCAUCUUUAAACAACACGUGACUGUGUUUAUCUGAAAGGGUGGUUGUAAAGCUCCAUAGUUGAACACGGGUAAGGAGAAUAUGUUCACCGUCCGGUUGCUCAGACCAGUGACAUAGGGACGUGUUAAAAGCAGCCAGAGAAGAAAGACACGUUGCUCAGGGAAACACAGAAAUCAGGAGGACAGCAGGUCCCUCAUCAGAAAUGGCAUCGCUAAUGCCCUGGACGAAAACAGAACACUGGGCACGUAGACUCCACCCGGGGACAGCUCUCAACCACAAACAUGGAGCGAAGAUUGUUAGACACGGAAAAGAUGAGAGCGCGGCAGCAGCCCUCUUGCACGAGAAAUAUCAAAGGGCCUGAGCUGUUGACCAGCCGACAACAGGAUGAGUCUGAAAACUAUUACUCUGGUGAGAGGACAGUCUGUCCUGUGUGAUUCCCUGUCUGUGAAACUCCAGGAGAUGCUCAUGAACGUGUGGCGACAGGAAGAGAUCAGCGGGAGCCGGGAGCUGUGUGAAGGCGAGGUGACAAAGGGGCACAGCUGUUGUCAAGGACCCCGGACGGUGCCUGUCUGUGGCCGUGAGCAGCGGAAGCGUUAGCAUUGCCCAAACCCUCCUGGUCGGGGCGUGGAGUGAGUGAAGGGACCUGUUCUCCCUCUCUCGCCUUCUGUGGCCCGUUUUGCAGAUGAAGGCCAGGCACACUGAGGCCUCAUUGAAGCUCCCCGGGGCCCAGGACACUGGCUGAAGCCUGGCCCCUGCCAAGGCCUGCCCCGCACCCCACCUACCACGCUGCAUUAGAGGACCCCCCCCUUGUCCAAGCUCCACAGCUCAGAGGAGCCCCCUGGGACUCUCACUCUCGCUGGGUUAUUUUGGGAAGCUGUUAAUGAUUCUGUUUGCCUUUCCAAUGACCUCAAAAGUUCCACUGCCACGGACCCCAACCCCUGCUGCCCGCCGUGUGCCCAGCUGCCCCCUCCCUCCUUCCUUCCCUCCUGCAGGCGGGGAGGCCCCCUCUGCACACCCAAUGACAGAGGCCAUGUGGCCCAGUGGUUAGGGUGGCUGUGCUGCCAACCCGCUCAGCCAGCCUGGUCAACUCCCCCUGCCUCUGUUUACCCUCUUAUGCAGCGGGGGCAUCACAGCGCCUGUUGCCACGGCCACCGGUCGUGGAGGAGAUGACCAGGUGGCGAGCAGCGCUGGCAGGUGUUGGCGUUGUUGCGGUUGCCAGUGAUGGGG
rnacentral:lncRNA from 1 species